rnacentral:rRNA from 1 species
GCAAGUCGAACGCUCUCGAUCUUCGGAUCAAUGAGAGAGUGGCGAACGGGUGAGUAACACGUAAGAAACCUGCCCUAAAGACGAGGAUAACCAUUGGAAACGAUGGCUAAUACUGGAUAGGAUAUAAAACCACAUGGUUAAUAUUUAAAGGAAGCUUUCAAGCUUCGCUAUAGGAUGGUCUUGCGCUGUAUUAGCUAGUUGGUGAGGUAACGGCUCACCAAGGCGACGAUACAUAGCUGGUCUGAGAGGAUGAAC